UGAGGAAUCUUGCGCAAUGGGGGAAACCCUGACGCAGCAACGCCGCGUGGGUGAUGAAGGCCUUCGGGUCGUAAAACCCUGUCGGGAGGGAAGAAAUGGCAGCGGGCCAAUACCCCGUUGUCUUGACUGUACCUCCAAAGGAAGCCCCGGCUAACUCCGUGCCAGCAGCCGCGGUAAUACGGAGGGGGCCAGCGUUGUUCGGAAUCAUUGGGCGUAAAGGGCGCGCAGGCGGUUGUGCAAGUCGGUUGUGAAAUCCCCUGGCUCACCCAGGGAACUGCUUCCGAAACUGCACGACUUGAGUCCGGGAGGGGAGAGUGGAAUUCCCAGUGUAGCGGUGGAAUGCGUAGAUAUUGGGAGGAACACCAGUGGCGAAGGCGGCUCUCUGGACCGGUACUGACGCUGAGGCGCGAAAGCUAGGGGAGCAAACAGGAUUAGAUACCCCCGUAGUCC
rnacentral:rRNA from 1 species